GGAUAACCUACCCUUAGGACCGGGAUAACCUUGGGAAACUGAGGAUAAUACUGGAUAGGCAAUUUUUCCUGUAAUGGUUUUUUGUUUAAAUGUUUUUUCGCCUAAGGAUGGGUCUGCGGCCGAUUAGGUAGUUGGUUAGGUGAUGGCUUACCAAGCCGUUGAUCGGUACGGGUUGUGAGAGCAAGAGCCCGGAGAUGGAACCUGAGACAAGGUUCCAGGCCCUACGGGGUGCAGCAGGCGCGAAACCUCCGCAAUGUGAGAAAUCGCGACGGGGGGAUCCCAAGUGCCAUUCUUAACGGGAUGGCUUUUCUUUAGUGUAAAGAGCUUUUGGAAUAAGGGCUGGGCAAGACCGGUGCCAGCCGCCGCGGUAACACCGGCAGCUCUAGUGGUAGCAGUUUUUAUUGGGCCUAAAGCGUUCGUAGCCGGUUUAAUAAGUCUCUGGUGAAAUCCUGUAGCUUAACUGUGGGAAUUGCUGGAGAUACUAUUAGACUUGAGACCGGGAGAGGUUAGAGGUACUCCCAGGGUAGAGGUGAAAUUCUGUAAUCCUGGGAGGACCGCCUGUUGCGAAGGCGUCUAACUGGAACGGUUCUGACGGUGAGGGACGAAAGUUAGGGGCGCGAACCGGAUUAGAUACCCGGGUAGUCCUAACUGUAAACGAUGCGGACUUGGUGUUGGGGUGGCUUUGAGCUGCUCC
rnacentral:rRNA from 1 species